rnacentral:rRNA from 1 species
UUCCUACGGGGGGCAGCAGUGAGGAAUAUUGGUCAAUGGCCGGAAGGCUGAACCAGCCAUGCCGCGUGAAGGUCAGUGCCCUAUGGGCGUUAAACUUCUUUUGUGCGGGAGCAAUAAUGGUCACGUGUGGCCAGACGAGAGUACCGUACGAAUAAGCAUCGGCUAACUCCGUGCCAGCAGCCGCGGUAAUACGGGGGAUGCAAGCGUUAUCCGGAUUUAUUGGGUUUAAAGGGUGCGUAGGCGGAUCGUUAAGUCAGUGGUCAAAUUGAGGGGCUCAACCCCUUCCCGCCAUUGAAACUGGCGUU